rfam:Nipponia nippon contig3814, whole genome shotgun sequence.
UGGCAGUGAUGACCAUCUUAGGACACCUUUGGAAUAACCAUGAAAAAAUAAUUGUUUCUCUCUGAGCCAU